AUGGUGACGAGUUCGAUGCC
rnacentral:siRNA from 1 species